rnacentral:lncRNA from 1 species
CCAACAAACAGACAGCACCAGGUCCAUCCACAACUGAAGUGUGUUACUGGGGUGGGCGGGCUUGGAGGGUUCAAAAGCCACAUGCCAUUCCCGGUUUGCUCCUCGACUUUCGCUUGUGGGAGUGGGGGGAUUUAGAACCCCAAACCCAAACUCCAAGAAAGUAGCCGGUAGAUGACCUGUGGUUUUCGAACUCUUGGGGAAAGCUGAGAACGCACCCCGGGUGGAUGUAAGAGCCUGCAUCCUCCUUAGCACUGGCUGCUGCUGCUUUCUGCCUGGGCUUUGGACUCUGGUUCCCUGGGGCAGGAGGCAAAGGGCUUCACCUUUGUGCCCCGUGACCUACAUGGCCUGCUCUUGUAGGAGGCUGGCUGGUCACUGGCUGUAGAGACACUGGGCCUCAUCUCUGCAGGGCCACACUGUGCAUCGUGGGGACUCAGCAAGACCUCUGGCUUCCACCUAACACAUGCCUUCUCCCAACCUGAGAGUCCUCUGCUGUGGAGGGGAUUCGAGGACCAGCGGACAUCGUAAAAGGUAAGGCUUUUCUCAGAAAAAUCUUGAGAAAAGCAGAAUCGGGCUGAGUCUGAGAAAACACCACAGCAGAGUAGCAGGUGAGGUCUCAGCUUGGCAGGAGUUGAGAAGAUGUCAGAACCAAGAAUUCAUAAUCCAUGGCUGGCAAAACUGCUCAGCAGGUAAAGGUGCCCGCUGUGAAGCCCGAGGACCUGAGUUCAAUUUUGGAGACCCUCAUGGUGGAAGGAGAUGACACCUCUCCAAAGCGGUCCUUUGAUCUCCACAUGCAGGCAUGUGCAUGCACGCUCCCACAAUAAACAACUAAAUGCAACUUAAAUAUGUACAAUCCAGCAUUUCUGCCCCCA